GCCCAUUUUUGCAGCCUCCCCAUAAAAAAAUACGGAGCUGCCUCUAACAUUUAUGAUAGUGUUCAAAAUCCAACAGUCCCUUCCUCUUUUGCAGUCCACUUUUUCAUUCUAUUUCUCGAGUAAAUCCUGUAGUCAGUUUUUAAUAAAGAGCUAACUUCUUAACUAGUCACAUGUGCCUUUGGUGUGCCAAGGAACACUAUUGCCUCUAAGAACAAAUCAUUACAGGAUAUUUGCAUAUAAACCCUGGCAUCUUAAAAUGUGAGUUGGAAAAGUGUGUGUGUGUGUGCAUUUUCUUUUUGGCAAGGAUAGCAAUAAGAGUGGAAAAUAAAACUGCCAAUGGGAUCAGAAAAUCAGAUAAUAAAUUGUACAAAAUGUUGGGGGAGAGUGUUCAGUAGAGUAAGGAAAUUGAUUUUAGUAGAGCUGGAUAUAACAUUUUUAGGAAGUGUAGCCUGAAGAAAAGUAUGGUAUUUGAAGAGAAUUUGCUGUGGUUACCUUUUCAAAGACCACUUAAUGCUCGGAGUAGGCAUCCUCCCAUUUUUUCCUUUAAGCAAAAGAAAAUCUAUCCUUAACUUAAUCCAAACCUUGGAACUACUACUGUUUUGGUUUCCCAAAAUCUCUCAGUCGCAAUGGCUAAUAUCUGCUCCAUUGGUCUUCCCCACAUAUUGAAGUAUAACCCAUAAUGCUAGGAGUCACUAGGCUAGGACAGUUGAUCAAUAUGUUUUCAAUUUUUCCCCUCAGGAACAGGUUCUUAUUUGAUUUUUAGAACCUGAAAAUCCCUUCCACUUGAAAUGCAUCCAUACAGAGGUUUGAGAAAGGAGCCUUGGUUUGAUUUUCGAAAUAACUAGAAAUAACAUCAUACAAAAGCUGACUGGCACAAUCUGGGGAUCACAACCAGACACAGAGAAGACAUCUGCCCUUGUGCUUUGCUACUCUGCUCCUGAAAAGGCAUGCCCAGUGUGGAAUACAUUUCACCAAAUUAAAACAGUGAAUGUGGCUCUUAAUGAGACAUUUCGCAUCAUCACAGGAUGUCUACGCCCCACACCACUGGAGAAAUUAUACUGUUUAGCCAGCAUUGAACCAUCUGACAUCCACCAGGAAGUAGCAGCCAGCAAUGAAAGG
rnacentral:lncRNA from 1 species